rnacentral:rRNA from 1 species
AGAGUUUGAUCCUGGCUCAGGAUGAACGCUGGCGGUAUGCGUAACACAUGCAAGUCGAACGAAGUUUUUCGGAACUUAGUGGCGGACGGGUGAGUAACGCGUGAGAAUCUGCCUUAAGGAUUGGGACAACAGUGGGAAACCGCUGCUAAUACCAAAUAUGCCUUUUAGUGAAACGGGUAAAACCGCCUUAAGAUGAGCUCGCGUCUGAUUAGCUAGUUGGUGUGGUAAGAGCGCACCAAGGCAACGAUCAGUAGCUGGUCUGAGAGGACGAUCAGCCACACUGGGACUGAGACACGGCCCAGACUCCUACGGGAGGCAGCAGUGAGGAAUUUUCCGCAAUGGGCGAAAGCCUGACGGAGCAAUACCGCGUGAGGGAGGAAGGCUCUUGGGUUGUAAACCUCUUUUCUCAGGGAAGAAUAAUGACGGUACCUGAGGAAUAAGCAUCGGCUAACUCCGUGCCAGCAGCCGCGGUAAUACGGAGGAUGCAAGCGUUAUCCGGAAUGAUUGGGCGUAAAGCGUCCGCAGGUGGCAAUGUAAGUCUGCUGUCAAAGCGUCUGGCUCAACCAGAUAAAGGCAGUGGAAACUACAUAGCUAGAGUAAGGUAGGGGUAGAGGGAAUUCCUGGUGUAGCGGUGAAAUGCGUAGAGAUCAGGAAGAACACCGGUGGCGAAAGCGCUCUGCUGGACCUUAACUGACACUGAGGGACGAAAGCUAGGGGAGCGAAUGGGAUUAGAUACCCCUGUAGUCC